GACCGUGGUGGUGAGCGUUGUGGGACAGGGAGUGGGGCGCCCUCUGUCGACCGACAGCGCCCCACACAGCUGACAGGGCUGUCAAUCACGUGGAGCAGCUGAGCGUUGGGAAGCAGAGAGGGGUCCCAGUGUCCAGUCCGACCCGCCAUCAGCCACGAGGAGCGGCAAAGCUCACAGCUGUAGAAGACGCACACAGACAGAAACGCACAAACAGACACACACACACACACACACACAUAGACACUGAGGAUUACUUUGACUGGAAUACAGCGGAGACACAGCAGUGGACACGGCGCCUGGAGUACACUCAGAAGGAGGCGGUUGCUAGGAGGCGGUUGCUAGGAGGCGGUUGCUAGGAGGCGGUUGCUAGGAGGCGGUUGCUAGGCGACGGCGGCGGUGCCCAGUGCUGCAGGAUGUCAGUAUGGCGUCCCUGCUCCCCCCUGCUGGUAAAGAGAUCUUCAGGCGCUUCACCCCGGCUUCUCUGGACGAACUUCAGCUGUGCUUUGAGAAGGAAGAGCGGGAAAAACUGAGGAGGAAAG